UACAGAGGUGGCAAGCGUUGUUCGGAAUUACUGGGCGUAAAGGGCGCGUAGGCGGCUUGGUCAGUCCCGUGUGAAAUCCCUCGGCUCAACUGAGGAACUGCACGGGAAACUGCCUGGCUUGAAUUCGGGAGAGGGAUGUGGAAUUCCAGGUGUAGCGGUGAAAUGCGUAGAUAUCUGGAGGAACACCGGUGGCGAAGGCGGCAUCCUGGACCGAGAUUGACGCUGAUGCGCGAAAGCGUGGGGAGCAAACAGG
rnacentral:rRNA from 1 species